rnacentral:rRNA from 1 species
CCCGAUGCAAACUGCGAAUACCGGAGAAUGUUAUCACGGGAGACACACGGCGGGUGCUAACGUCCGUCGUGAAGAGGGAAACAACCCAGACCGCCAGCUAAGGUCCCAAAGUCAUGGUUAAGUGGGAAACGAUGUGGGAAGGCCCAGACAGCCAGGAUGUUGGCUUAGAAGCAGCCAUCAUUUAAAGAAAGCGUAAUAGCUCACUGGUCGAGUCGGCCUGCGCGGAAGAUGUAACGGGGCUAAACCAUGCACCGAAGCUGCGGCAGCGACACUAUGUGUUGUUGGGUAGGGGAGCG